CAGUAGCCGCGGUAAUACGGAGGGGGCUAGCGUUGUUCGGAAUUAUUGGGCGUAAAGCGCACGUAGGCGGCGAUUUAAGUCAGAGGUGAAAGCCCAGUGCUCAACACUGGAACUGCCUUUGAAACUAGAUUGCUUGAAUCCAGGAGAGGUGAGUGGAAUUCCGAGUGUAGAGGUGAAAUUCGUAGAUAUUCGGAAGAACACCAGUGGCGAAGGCGGCUCACUGGACUGGUAUUGACGCUGAGGUGCGAAGCGUGGGGAGCAAACAGGAUUAGAUACCCCUGUAGUCCCUGUCUCUUAUACA
rnacentral:rRNA from 1 species